UAAAAAUAAAUAUAAAGUGAGUACUGUACAGUUUGUAUUCUGUGUUGUAAUUGAAAUAUAUUUGAAAAUGCAGAAAACAUCCAAAAAAUAUUUGAAUAAACACUGUUCUAUUACUGUUUAAUCGCACAAUCAUGAUUAAUUUUUUUAAAUGCUUGACAGCCCUAGUUUACAAACAAAGUCUCAACAAAUAGUCUCACUAAAGCUCUGAAGUUACACCAAUUUAAUUAAAGCAACUGUGUGUGUAGACACUCUCAUAUUAGUUUAACUUACACUAAAUAAAAUAAAUUGGAAGGUACAAUAUUUAAGAAGUUGGGGGAGAACAAGUUUACAAAAUAAUGGAUGAGGAUGGGGUGGGAGCAGCAGUAGAGGAAAAGGAAAAUGCCUUGAGAAAGAGAGAAAAGGAGGUUUUAUAGAAGUGUAUUUAGAGCUGGUGAAAGGUGCUGGUCUGACGGCCCUCAAGAUUGUCAGUCUCCACUUAUCUAGCAUGGGCAGAGGCACCAGCAUGCCCAAGCCCUAGCGUAUAGGGACCCUCACCAGUGCUGGGAGGGUGGGGGGUGAAAUCUCAGUGCUAAGUCAGUCCUUAGCCCUGUUGCUUGGACCCCCACCUACUUACUAUGCUUCUGUGCAAACGGGGCUAGUCCCCCAACACACUCCUCCUCUACCACCUCGCCAGGAGACCAGCCCCGAUGGGAUCCCAUGUCUCCCUGGACUGGAGAUGCCCAAAGGACUAACUGGGAUUUCCGUUUCUGGGACUCACCCUCCCUGGGGCUCAGUGUGGGGGGCACUGGGCUCCUCCACUUGCCAGGACAGUGUCUGUGAACUAAUCAUCCCCUGGUCCCCCACACACCCCACAACAGGUCUCCCCAAAACUCUGAUAGGCAGAUGCCUAGGACCUUGUCACCCCUACACCUCACCAGGCCUUUCUGACAAGCUCUGACCUGGGUCCCCCUCCAGGAUCCUGGGGGGGCAGCCCUAGGGCCAGCCACUUCCCCCAAAGGGGGGCAUUCCUAGGGUCUCCCCCAACACUCACUGGGGGGGCACAGCCUGGGGUCAGCCACUUCCCCCAAAGGGGGGGCCAUUCCUGUGGUCAGCCCCUCCCCUACACUCCCGGGGGGGGCAGCCUGGGGUCGCCACUUCCCCUAAAGGGGGGGUAUUGCUCGGGUCAGCCCCCCCAACACUCCCGGGGGGGCAGCCUGGCCUGGGCUCAGCCACUUCCCCCACAGGGGAGUAUUGCUCGGGUCAGCCCCCCCAACACUCCCGGGGGGGCAGCCUGGGCUCAGCCACUUCCCCUAAAGGGGGGGCAUUGCUCGGGUCAGCCCCCCCAACACUCCGGGGGGGGCAGCCUGGACUCAGCCACUUCCCCCACAGGGGGGUAUUGCUCGGGUCAGCCCCCCCAACACUCCCGGGGGGGCAGCCUGGGCUCAGCCACUUCCCCCACAGGGGGGCAUUGCUCGGGUCAGCCCCCCCAACACUCCCGGGGGGGCAGCCUGGGCUCAGCCACUUCCCCUAA